rnacentral:lncRNA from 1 species
AUUAAUAACCCAAUACUCCAACCACUGAGACACCACUGCUGUAAUGCUGUACAUUUUAUAAACUUCAGAUUUUUUGAUUUGAUAAAAGUAUAGGCUGAUGAUUUGAACUUACUCAGUUUUGUUAAAAUUUGCUGUAAUUAAUGACUUUCUGACUUUUUUUAGAAAAAGGUAAAAUAAUUGAGCAGCUCCAAACAGAAAACACAAACCUGAACACUUCUCUUGCAGGUAAGACAUAGCUUUACUUCUUAUAAUGAAAUGUUUAACUCAUUCAGCUCAACAGUCUUUUCACUCUUCUAAAACUGCCCUUUCCAGAAAAAGGUAAAAUAAUUGACCAGCUUCAAACAGAAAACUCAAACCUGAACACGACUCUUAAAGAGAGAGAUGAUAAAAUUAAGCAGCUCGAGAAAGAAAAAGGAACCUGUGAUCCCAAAUCGCAGAAUGU